UGGGGAAUUUUGCACAAUGGGGGAAACCCUGAUGCAGCGACGCCGCGUGAUUUAGAAGGCCUUCGGGUUGUAAAAAUCUUUUGUAUAGGAAGAAAAUGACAGUACUAUACGAAUAAGGACCGGCUAAUUACGUGCCAGCAGCCGCGGUAAUACGUAAGGUCCGAGCGUUGUCCGGAAUCAUUGGGCGUAAAGGGUACGUAGGCGGGUAAGCAAGUUAGAAGUGAAAUCCUAUAGCUCAACUAUAGUAAGCUUUUAAAACUGCUCAUCUUGAGGUAUGGAAGGGAAAGUGGAAUUCCUAGUGUAGCGGUGAAAUGCGCAGAUAUUAAAAAGAAUACCGGUGGCGAAGGCGACUUUCUGGCCAUAAUCUGACGCUGAGGUACGAAAGCGUGGGUAGCAAACAGG
rnacentral:rRNA from 1 species